UACGUAGGGUGCGAGCGUUAAUCGGAAUUACUGGGCGUAAAGCGUGCGCAGGCGGUUUUGUAAGCCAGAUGUGAAAUCCCCGGGCUUAACCUGGGAAUGGCAUUUGGGACUGCAAGGCUCGAGUGCGGCAGAGGAGACUGGAAUUCCUGGUGUAGCAGUGAAAUGCGCAGAUAUCAGGAGGAACACCAAUGGCGAAGGCAGCUCGCUGGGACGGUACUGACGCUGAGACGCGAAAGCGUGGGGAGCAAACGGG
rnacentral:rRNA from 1 species